rnacentral:rRNA from 1 species
UGCCAGACCUGACUGCUAUCGGAUUGAUACUAAGCCAUGCGAGUCUUUGCAGUAAUGCAAGGCAUACGGCUCAGUAACACGUAGUCAACUUACCCUAUGGACGAGGAUAAUCUCGGGAAACUGAGCAUAAUACUCGAUAGAUCAUAAUGCCUGGAAUGGUUUAUGGUUGAAAUGAUUCGUCGCCAUAGGAUGGGACUGCGGCCUAUCAGCUUGUUGGUGAGGUAAUGGCCCACCAAGGCGAUUACAGGUACGGGCUCUGAGAGGAGAAGCCCGGAGAUGGGUACUGAGACAAGGACCCAGGCCCUAUGGGGCGCAGCAGGCGAGAAAACUUUGCAAUGUGCGAAAGCACGACAAGGUUAAUCCGAGUGAUUUCUGCUAAAGAAAUCUUUUGCAAGUCAUAAAACCACUAGUGAAUAAGGGGUGGGCAAGUUCUGGUGUCAGCCGCCGCGGUAAGACCAGCACCUCAAGUGGUCAGGAGGAUUAUUGGGCCUAAAGCAUCCGUAGCCGGCUCUGUAAGUUUUCGGUUAAAUCCAUGUGCUCAACGCAUGGGCUGCCGAAAAUACUGCAUAGCUAGGGAGUGGGAGAGGUAGACGGUACUCGGUAGGAAGGGGUAAAAUCCUUUGAUCUAUCGAUGACCACCUGUGGCGAAGGCGGUCUACCAGAACACGUUCGACGGUGAGGGAUGAAAGCUGGGGGAGCAAACCGGAUUAGAUACCCGGGUAGUCCCAGCUGUAAACGAUGCAGACUCGAUGAUGCAUUGGCAUAUAGCCAGUGCAGUGUCGCAGGGAAGCCGUUAAGUCUGCCGCCUGGGAAGUACGUACGCAAGUAUGAAACUUAAAGGAAUUGGCGGGGGAGCACCAC